CACAUCACACUAGUCUCGCCUGGAAGUUACCAGAGCAUGGAUAACGGAGGCCAGGCACUCCCUGCCCAGCAAGGACCACAACUGGGGAUCUGGCCUAAUGCACAGAAGCCUUCAGGGACAAGAGGAACCAAGCAGCACCUCCAUGUGGUCAGCCUGUGCCUUUUGAGCAAGUGGGAGGAUGUACUAUUUGAGCCUUAGCUGGAAAGAGAGGGGAAGGCCUCUCACAACAUCCACCACAGAAGGAAUCUUUAGGAUGAACAGGAGGACCUUUAGCACCAAAGCAGCUAUUUCAGUAUUUUCCCACGAAAAGGGGAACUGACAGCUUUGAAAACAAGUCCUUGAAGAAAAAUACGGCCAUGAAGUAGUCUGCAACUAUAUCUAAAGAGGAAGCCACAUUUGUUGAAGCAAAGAGAAUAAAAUAUUUCUGGUACCACAAAGACCAACACA